UACGUAGGGGGCAAGCGUUGUCCGGAAUUAUUGGGCGUAAAGAGCGUGUAGGCGGUCCGGUAAGUCCGCUGUGAAAGUCGAGGGCUCAACCCUCGAAUGCCGGUGGAUACUGUCGGGCUAGAGUACGGAAGAGGCGAGUGGAAUUCCUGGUGUAGCGGUGAAAUGCGCAGAUAUCAGGAGGAACACCAAUUGCGAAGGCAGCUCGCUGGGACGUUACUGACGCUGAGACGCGAAAGCGUGGGGAGCAAACAGG
rnacentral:rRNA from 1 species